rnacentral:rRNA from 1 species
UACGUAGGGGGCAAGCGUUGUCCGGAUUUACUGGGCGCAAAGCGCGCGUAGGCGGAACUUCAAGUCCGGUCUGAAAGCCCCCGGCUCAACCGGGGAGGGUGGCUGGAAACUGGGGUUCUUGAGGGCGAGAGAGGAGGUGGAAUUCCUGGUGUAGCGGUGAAAUGCGUAGAGAUCAGGAGGAACACCCGGGGCGAAGGCGGCCCUCUGGCUCGACCCUGACGCUGAGGCGCGAAAGCGUGGGGAGCGAACGGG